UUAGGCAGAGAGCUCUUACACUUGCCACAGAAGGCUGAUCCAUAAAAGGAUGUGAUGACAAGUUAAACUUCUUCAAAAUAACUUUUUCUCCUCUUUGAAAGACCCUGUUAAGGGAGUGAAUAGACAAGAUACAUAUUGGGACAAAGUAUCGGAACACAGCAUAUACAGCAAAAUAAGAUGUAAUGCUUUCUCAAAAGUGAAAGUAAAAAUUCAAACAGCAUACAAUUCAACUACCAUAUGGACAAAAACAUGAAGCAGCAUUUCAUUGGAGACUCAGAGAUGACAAAUAAGUAUAUGAAAAAAUAUUCAAUAUCAUUAACCAUUAGAGAAAUGCAAAUUAAAAUCACAAUCAGAUGCCGCUACACAGUUAGCAGAAUGGCUUAAAAAAGUGAUACCACUAACUGUUGGUGAAUAGCAGGUAUUGCGUAACCACAGAAUUAGAGAACAGGUUAGUGGCUGUCAGGAGCAAGGGCGGGAGUGCUGAUAGGAAAGAAGUGGGUGUGAUUAUGAACAGGCGGCAGCGAGGGACCCUGGUGCUGACGGCACAGUGCUCUCUCUCAUCACGGUAAGUGUCGAAGUCCUGGUUGUGAUGUUAUGCUGCAGUUUUGCAAGAAGUAACAAUUAGAGGAAACCAGAUAGAAGAUGCCCAGGACUAGUUGCUGAAUUACACGUUCCCACUAAAUGUAAAUUUACAGGUAUGUUAAAAACAAAGUUCAGUUUUUAAAAAAUCGCCUAAAAUGAAAUUAACUAGCGUGUUUCUUAAUAAUCUCCUCGGGAGAAGUCUGGAUAUGUUGGACAAUAGGGAUGUUUUUCCUCUAAAAAUAGACAAAUGCUUAAAUAUACUAAUUAUUAUAUUAAACUCACUAAGUUUCAAAGAUAUAUCUUAUUAAAAUAAACAGAUGUUCCUAAAUGACUUUCUCAUUUUAUCUAUGAUUUAUACUUCUUUGAAAUAUAAUUAAGUUUACCUUUUAUGUAGCAUAAUGCUCAGAAAUGCAAACAUUAUUUUUUACAUUUAAUAGAAAUUUGAGAAAAUUAUUAAAAUAUCCAAAUUUUCAUUUUUCUUUUUUAAUUGUGAUGUAGUUGGCGUAUUACUUUUGAGUAUACAGCAUAAUGAUUCAAUAUUUGUAUAUGUUGAAAUCAUCACUACAACAGUAUAGUUAACAUUCAUUUUAACAUCAGUUUCUAAAUAUGUAUUUGAUGCACUAGAUUAGUAAAUCUUUCAAAGCUGAAUUGCUAGCCUACAGUGGAUUUCCCCAUGCCUGCAUUCCAUUGUUGCUUCUGAAAACUCCAAACAUUUGGUUUCUGUGAUAAAAUUUUUGGCAGAUUCAUUCACUUUAACAUGCUGGAUGCCUCUUGCUUUAAAAUAAGUAUCUUAGUCAUCAGAAUGGUUUUAUGUUCAGUGCAGCUUUCAGAAAGAUAAACAACUUCUCUAGAUUAUUUUAUAUCAUUGAAUGCUUAUUCAAUACAACCAAACAAAA
rnacentral:lncRNA from 1 species